rnacentral:rRNA from 1 species
AACGAACGCUGGCGGCAUGCCUAACACAUGCAAGUCGAACGAGACCUUCGGGUCUAGUGGCGCACGGGUGCGUAACGCGUGGGAAUCUGCCCUUGGGUUCGGAAUAACUUCGGGAAACUGAAGCUAAUACCGGAUGAUGACGUAAGUCCAAAGAUUAUCGCCCAAGGAUGAGCCCGCGUAGGAUUAGCUAGUUGGUGAGGUAAAGGCUCACCAAGGCGACGAUCCUUAGCUGGUCUGAGAGGAUGAUCAGCCACACUGGGACUGAGACACGGCCCAGACUCCUACGGGAGGCAGC